rnacentral:rRNA from 1 species
CGGUCCAAGUUCCUUGGAACAGGACGUCACAGAGGGUGAGAAUCCCGUACGUGGUCGCUAGCCUUUACCGUGUAAAGCCCCUUCGACGAGUCGAGUUGUUUGGGAAUGCAGCUCUNAAUGGGAGGUAAAUUUCUUCUAAAGCUAAAUACUGGCCAGAGACCGAUAGCGCACAAGUAGAGUGAUCGAAAGAUGAAAAGCACUUUGGAAAGAGAGUUAAAAAGCACGUGAAAUUGUUGAAAGGGAAGCGCUUGCAGNCAGACUUGCCUGUAGUUGCUCAUCCGGGUUUAUACCNGNUGCACUCUUCUACGGGCAG